rnacentral:tRNA from 1 species
AGGUAGUUAACUUAAUGGUAAAGUGCUUCUUUUACACAGAAGAAAUUAUUGGUUCGAAUCCAUUACUACCUA